CCGAAAACCAGUUCUGGUCUAAGAAAAUGAAAAACAUUGUUUUCUUUCGAAUUAUACGGCUGAACGCAAUGGGAAACCACAGAUCACUACGCAAAAGCUAGCGAAAAAUAAAUGCAGUUAAAAAGUGUAACGUGGAAGAGGAGAAACGCGCGUACGAAGGACACAAGCGAGUACCAGAUCACUCGUAUAGCAACGUUUGCAGAUAAUCUUCAAGUACAGCGCGUGUUCCCCUUGAAAAUUCACCAAAUAAAAUCGAGCGGCUGCCGCAUGCCAGGUAAGAACACGACACAGCGAGGACACGCUCUGAUCCUAACGAGCAACAUUUCUAGUUAAAGCCGCUUUCGAGCAGAUUACACGUAGAAUCUAUCGAUUCGUAAAGUAACGUGCAAAUGGUUACGCAGAUUCGCACAACUUCUUCUUAAUUCUCUAAGAUCGUCUUAGCGUUAAACCAAGCCAUACCAGAGUCCUUUGCUCCCUUUCCAUCCAGAGUUUAUUCGGCCACCAGUAAUAACCACCAGUAUAUACGUUCGCCACUCUAUUUCUGGCAGGAUAAUAAUAACCUCUCCAUAUCUUGUUUCAGCGGCUAGCUUUGGAUGACAGGACGCGAGAUCUUUGCCAACAGCUUUAACUUUGUAAACGACGCGACGAUUGGAAAUAAAAUUGUUGGAGAGUCUGGCCGAUCUGUGUCUUUGGUUUCUAGCGAAGGCGCCGUUUCAAUUCAACGCUGCUGUCCUAUUUGCUUCGUAUCGUGGAAUAACGUCACGGAAAUUUCAUCUUCACCGUGUAACUGUUGCGUAUACGUAUGAAGAAUCUUCUCAAGACAGAGUUCAACCGCUUCGAGGGACGCAUAUAACGAACGGAUUUUUCCUCAAGGUCGUCUCUUCGCGAAAUUUCAAGACAUUUUUCAAGUAUCUGUGCGUGAAAAUGCCUGCUUGAAAUUUUUAUAUUUUAACCCUAAUUUUGUAACACUUUCGGGUCGUGUGAAAAACAAAGACGCUCUUACGUUUCCGUUUUCCCUUCUUGUCUCUGUUCUCCUCCUUUCGUACACUACAUUUCAAUUAAAAUCGAAUUAUUCGAAGAUGGUAUCUCACUGGGGGUAGCCAUCCACGUGUUAUUUACCAAUUAAGUUAGAAAAAUUUGCCAAAUGUCCAGCUGGACAAAUUGCAAAGUACAAAUUAAAUAAUAAAAAAAAAAUUAAAAUCGAAAUAUCUUUUAAACUCUUCAUUUCAUAAAUACACAUAAAUAUUUUGAUACUUUUGCACGGAGAAUAGAAAAUUACAUUCAUAGUGUGAAAACGAUAUAUAGAGUUCUAUUUAGGAAAUACCGAUGACCUUGAAAUCUCCUUUCUUAAAGAGAAGAAGAGAAAGAGAAGAAAAGGGGAAAAAAACGAAGCUGAGAGAAGAUUCUUUCCACCGUUACACGAGUCCCUUCGUAUGAUUUAACUUCGCCUUGAGAAGCUUUUUCGUACGAUCGUAGAUAACGCAGGUAUUCGUUUAGCCGAGACACCGGGUAUAUUAGAUUAUAGAUUUUACAAACACGCCUACAAACAUGUAAUUCGAUCUCUCCGUACAAUAUUUCGACUUUCCCAUUUCCACGAAUUUCUUUCUCUGAUUAAUAGUUCGUUAUUACGAUCAUCCCAUUAGAUGACUUUAAAGAAGGUUGUACCAAUAGCUGUUUAGGAAUGACAAAGAGUAACAGAGAGACGACGAACAAACGAGCAAAAGGGUAAAAGAGGAAAAGAGCGCGAGAAACGAAUGAGUUACCUUCGAUCGAGGUCAUGGUCGUGUCUAGGGUUCUUAUUCAAUGCCAUGGUUAAGUGUCGUUACUAUUAUCUAGCACGUGACAAUCUAGACGAUAACACGCAACUUAUGGCUUAACCAUGAAAAUAAAGAAACCUGAUCUAUCGAAACGAAACAAAGAGCGUGGAGUCGGUCGAUCGUGCCGAUACGGUAUUUUUAGUCGUUCCUCGAAGAUGCAGACACUAGUUGCAAUUUUAUGUUCGUCGCGAGCCAAAGAUAGCGAGAGUGAAUGGGUUUGGCAUUCGUGCUACAAGUGAUUUUGUUCGCGAUAUUCGAAUCUAUUGAUAAUUUUCUGAACAACCGAAACGAGCUUCUCUCUCGCUUUUCUUUCUCUAUCUUUCGUCUACUGUUACUUUCCUUGUCCAACAGAUCUCACAAAGAACAUAACCUAACAAACAAACACUCACCUCACUAAAGAAAUAAAUCAAUCAAAUUCGAAGAUGGUAUCUCACUGGGGGUAGCCAUCCGCAUGUUACUUACCGAUUAAGUUAGAAAAAUUUACCAAAUGUCCAGCUGGACAAAUUGUAAAGUACAAAUUAAAUAAUAAAAAAAAAACUGUCCUUGCGAUUGCACUGCGGAUUUCUCUGUGCUUAUGCAAAAUUUACAGGAUACACUGAUGCAUGGAAUACAUGUAACGUACAGAAUGCAAAAAAUAUACAACAUAUUGAAGUAUGUGAAUGUUUGAGAAGUUUAAAUGUACAAAAGUAUACAGAAUACAUACAGUACACAAAUAUAUAUAUAUAUAUUUAAAGUAUAAAAGACACGAAAUAUAUAAAAUAUCAAGGUAUACGAAUUUAUAGGAAGUUUAAACGGAGGAAAAUAUAGAGAAUGCACGUGACAGUACACCUUUUAAUAUUUAAUAGAUGAAACACAUUUCAUAAACAUGAUUUUGAAUAAAUAUUUGCAGUCUACUCAUCGCGUUAACACAGAACAUACAUAAAUAACGUAGCAUAUAAAAAUUUUUUCGGUAGUUUUAUAGCUGUGAGACGUAACGUAGGCGUGUAUAUUUUUCUAUUUAGGAAUAAAAGGAAAGAAGUUGGUAUUUACGUUUAAAAAAAAAUGUCUUCAAGUAAAUCUCCAGCCCCGGAGAUAAGACGAAGGGAAGCAAGAUUAAGUUUGUUCAAGGACAAACGGAAUCUCUCUUGGCAACAUACUGAAACCAGCUGACAUUCUAAAUGUCCAAACGUUCACGACUCACAGUCUGGCGCAGUUUGCUCUGACCCAUCCUUUUAUGUCCCCCCCCCCCCCCCCCCCCCGCCACGCACACAGACGUACGCACGUGGGUACACUCCCUCUUUCUCUCCACACGUUCUCUCAAGUGAUAACGACGAAAAUUCUUCAUUACCAAAACAGUUUCCUUCGACCUGUGUCAAUGUUGAGAGUGAAUUUUGAGACGGGUUAUCAGCCGCUUCGGAGAAUAACGAAUGAUACGGAUAAGUAACGAACGACUUUUCAAAUGCUUUUUUCUCAAUUUGUCAACAGUGGUUGGAAAUAUGUACGUUGAUUAUUGAGAAACGAGAGAGAGAAAAAAAAAAAAAAGAAGAAAAGAAAAACAGCGGAUUUAUCAUGUAACUGAUUGUGAGAGGAUACAGUGACAG